GUCAAAAUGAUCAUUUUCAUUCGAUAAAUAUAUCACAGGAUAUGUCAUCUCUGGAUUAUCCAACGGCUUGAACGUCUGCCAGUGAUACUCCGUUUUCCCGCCAAAUUGAAUAGGAGAGUACACCAUAAUGACGGUCCGUAGUAAGGUCGCCGUCGCCAUGAUCUCUGUGUCGGUCGCCCACUCUCGAGACCGUGUCAUACUGGACAUGUACUUGGUCAUCCCUCCUCGACUCAUUAGAAAUGUCCGGUACAUGUCGGGAUGAUCACUUACGUGCUUGGUAACAGCCGUACGAACCGUCAUGUGUUCCGCCUCAGAACCGGAAACCACUGCACUGAUGGCCCGAAAAAAGCAAUUGCCAUCCCCACGAACUGUAAGGGUGUCCCUUGGCGGUGAAUCUUGUUUAAAUUGUUUCAUUUCAGCACACUUGAUGUAUUUUUCCAAAGGAAUAUCCAAUAAUCUGGACUUUUCCUUUUGCCAUUCCUUUGUGAUAGGAAAGUACGUAUAUCUAGGCCCACUCUCCUCCUUGGGCUCUCGUUUGGAUCGGUAGAAUUCCGUGAGAUCUUCUUUAUGUUUUCCAGACUCUACCAUCGAAUCGUACCGGGCCUUACCCCCGGGGUUGGUGUAAGGAUACCCUCCCCCUGGCUCACGGUGCCUCUUCCCUUGGCUGUCCGAGAGAGAUCUGAACGAGUUUUGCAUUAUUAAUAAGUUUAGUCUAUUUUACAUCAGCAUACCUGAGGAAAUCCAAUGCUUCACCUGGCAAACAGAACUUCUUCCAUUCUGAUUACACGAGCUCCAACCAAAUAUCUCCCAUAAUUUCUGGACUGUUAUUUCACUUCUUAGCAAUGCAUACAAACAGAGUAAAACGGCUUCUGGUGUACACGAAUAUCGACUUUAUCGAAUGUCGCACAGAUAAAUAAAACUUGUAGAGUACAGCUUAAUCCUCCUGUGUACAAUAUCAUUUCUAAU
rnacentral:sRNA from 1 species